GAUGAACGCUGGCGGCGUGCUUAACACAUGCAAGUCGAACGGAAAGGCCCAAGCUUGCUUGGGUACUCGAGUGGCGAACGGGUGAGUAACACGUGGGUGAUCUGCCCUGCACUUCGGGAUAAGCCUGGGAAACUGGGUCUAAUACCGGAUAGGACCACAUUUUGGACGGUGUGGUGGAGAGUUUUUCGGUGUGGGAUGAGCUCGCGGCCUAUCAGCUUGUUGGUGGGGUAAUGGCCUACCAAGGCGUCGACGGGUAGCCGGCCUGAGAGGGUGUACGGCCACAUUGGGACUGAGAUACGGCCCAGACUCCUACGGGAGGCAGCAGUGGGGAAGAUUGCACAAUGGGCGCAAGCCUGAUGCAGCGACGCCGCGGGGGGGAGGACGGCCUUCGGGUUGUAAACUCCUUUCGCUAGGGACGAAGCGUUUUUGUGACGGUACCUGGAGAAGAAGCACCGGCUAACUACGUG
rnacentral:rRNA from 1 species